rnacentral:lncRNA from 1 species
UCUAUGUAUAAGCCCAAAAUUCGGUUGCCUUUAACCCAGAAUACCUAAAACUACCCAUUAACCCAUUUACUCCCAACCCACAAGCAGGAACGACCCAAAUGGCCCAAUGUGUUAACAGAUGAAGGAAGACCUAGGGUUUUUGGAACCCUAGGCGUCGUAAACAGAAAGUUCCAGAAGCCAACCAAACGUCACACCCCUUUAGUUUCCGUCGUUCCAGCUACCCACUAUCAAGGCCACGAUUCUAGGCUCUGAGUCACGCUGUGAUCAACGCCACCGGUGGAUCUACGUCACCAUCACGAUCAUUUCCGGAUUUUCCUUGCUCAUCUGCACACAAAUGAAAGAAAAGCAGCAUACAAAAUAAGAAGGAAUCGAAGGAAAUUAUUCUUACCAAAUAUACUGUAAACAGUGGCUAUAAAAGCCCGAAUCGAAAAAGAUGUAAAGGACUGAUUUUUACGUUUUCAAAAUACGUACAUAGAUUCAAUAAAAAGUUUAUUUUUACAUACAUAUACAGAAAGGAGUACUACAGUCGAUCGAAAUAUGCAAAGGUGAAAUUUUUUAAAAUAUAUGUACAUAUAUAUAUUGCAAAUAAUAAAAAGGAAAGGGAUACCUUUAAUCGGCGUUGAAAGGCGAGGUUUUUAAACCUCUGGCCACCGUAUGCGAUGGAGACGAUGGGGGUGCGUGAGCGCGUGCGCACCCCUGGAUGGAGGUCCGGUGACACUCCGAGAGCCCCUCCCCAACUCUCUUUCAGAGAGUUUCUUUUUUUUUUUCUUUAGAACAGACUUAAAAUGAUUUUAGAACUUAAAAUUUGACUUAUAUAGCCUAGAUGAAACGGUGCCGUUUUGGUUUAAUCCAAUAAGCACAAAACGACGUCGUUUCAAGGCUUAGGAUCCGCGUGUUAACCCGAUGACCCAGGGAGGAUCCGCAUUUUUUUAAAUGGGAAAAUUGCCCAAUUGAUCCUUCCGGUUUAUUAAAUUUUAUAAUUACAUUUUAUUUUAUUUUUAAUUCGGCCCUAAUAUUUUAUAGUUGAUUCAAUUUAGUCCCUAUGGCUGUUGAACUUCAUUCUAUGGAACGACGUCGUUCCUUGGGAAUAGGGUAUUUUUCCCGAUGAGUCCCUCACCUUUUGCGCGUGUUUCAUUUAAAUCCCAGAUUCAGUUUUAUUUUUCUAAUUUCGCCCCUGUAAUUUUAUAAAAUUUUAAAUUUAAUCCUAUGUGUUUUUUAUUAAUUUUUAUAUUAUAUAUUAUUUAUUUUACUCUAAACCUAUAUAUUUUAUUAUAUAAUUAUACAAUUAUUUUCACCUGUUAUUUAUUAUGUAUAUAUAUUAGUUUUUUUAUUAUUAUAUUAUUUAGUAAAUGCUAUUUUGAAAUUAUUAUUAAGUAUUAUGUUUUUAAAUUUGUAUUAUUUAUUAUAUUAUUAUCAUAUGGUGCAUAUAUUUCAUCUACUAUUUUUUAUUAAAAAUUAUUUAUUACAUAUUUUUUUAAAUUUUGUAUCUAUUAUAAACUGUUUUAAAAUUAUGUAUAUUAUAUCAUAUGUUAAAUGGAUUUAAAGAUUUUAUAUAUAUUUUUGUGUAUAUAAUAUUUUUAAAAAAUAUAUAUUAUCUAUUCUAUUUUUAUUCUCUUGAAAGAUCCUAAUAUUCUAUAUUAUUUAUUUAAAAUAUUUAUCAUGUAUAAUAUUUCUAAUUGUUUUAAUAAUAAAGUUUCUUUUUAAAAAAUAUGUUCCUAUGUAUGUUAAAUUGUUAUAUAUCAUUAUAUCCUUUUCUUUUAAAUAUUUUUUCCCUUUUUAUCAAUAUUGAUUGGGUGGUUUAAUUAUUCGUAUUUGUUUUUUUAAAAGUGUUAUUUUGUCACUUUUUAUUAUUACAAAUUUUGAUUUUCACUUUUAUUUUUAUAUUCUUUAAUUUAUUAUGAAUUUUUUGGUAUUUCUAUUUACUAAUAUUGUAUGUAGGUUUAUCUUUUAGCAUAAUCAUCUUAUGAUAUUUCAUUAUUUUAGGUUAUUUCUUAUUUGCCUAUAUUAUUAUGAAUUGUAAAAUGUUGUAAUUUAUUACCUUUGGUGUAUUUGUCUUGUGAUAUAUAUUAACGCUAUUCUUCUGCAUGAGUCAACGUUUUAGAUAAAGAAAUUCAUUUUACCAAAUUCCUCAAAAGUUUUCCAAAAUAAAAGGCAAUGCUUGAUGUUUGGAAACUUCGAGCAAGGUAGUGUCCUAACUUACUGGGUUGCGACUUUUCUCGUUGAAUUCGAAUAGUCAAGCACCUUUCUAAGUGAUUUUGAGUUUUCAAAACUUAAACAAUUAUUUCGAGAUUUCAAAACAUAGUGUCCUAACUUACUGGAUAUGGCGUUUUGUUGUUUCGAGAUAGAAAUUUUUGAAAGCUGAGCUUAGUUUCGAAGGUUUUAAAAUGUUGCGUCCUAACUUACUGGAUGUGAUGUUUUGACUCGUUUGAAAUAAGUGACUUAAUUUUCAAAAUUGAGACAUUCUAAUUAAAAGAGGUUUGCAUCUUAAAAGUUUCAAUUUUCCAACAUUAAAGACACUUGAUAAUCAAUUAGGUACCACUUUUUGGGCGUUACGAGGGUGCUAACCCUUCCUCGUACGUAACCGACUCCCGAAUCCAUUUUCUCGACUUUCGUAGACCAAAAUUAAUAUUUUAAAACAAAACAUUUUAUAAGGUGAUCCAAUCACACCUAAAAAGAUUGGUGGCGACUUCUAUUUUCGUUUUUUUUAAAGUCGAUUCCCAUUCUCCAAAACUAGAUUUAAAAAUGGUUUUGACAGCUUGGCGACUCCGCUGGGGACUAAUAAGAGAGUCAAGCCGUAUAAUUGAUUACCUUUUGUCUUAAUGUCAAAAAUUUGAAAAAUUUUAAAAUUUAAUCCUCUUUGCAUUACAUGUGUUUGUAUUAUUGCAUAUGUUAUAUACUCUGAUACACAUUGCAUUUGCAUGACCGUUGUGGUCACACCCUUAAGUGGGAGUGAGAAACUACGCCUUCGUGAGGUUUUCGCCUCCGUGCAGGAUAGUGGAUCACUUUCGGGAUACAUCCGUACCUAUAGUUUCGUGAGAUUUUCAUCUCCGUGUAGCCAUAGGGAAAUGUAUUCCCCUGAACUGAACUCGAUUCAAAUGAGCCUAUAAUGGGUGAGGAUCGAGGAAUCUGCUGGUUCGGGUACCUCAAACUUUAGAAACAAACUACAUAUAGAAAAAUCGUAAGAGCUCAAUAUAGAUAGAAUUAUACUUAGGUUAUCUUUGUGUUUAUUAAUAUCAUAUGAUACUGAUUGUUUUCUUUCUUUUGUGCAUGUCAUUUUGCAUUUAAAAGGUAUCGAUUCAAGGUCAGUUUCUAAAUUAGAAAGUUUUAUUAUGGAGAACGGACUUCUUGAUAGAGUGGAGGGCAACGCUAACGUCCAUAGAUGGUCUGAGCAAACUCAGCUAGGAAAAGGGGAUAGCAUAACUAUGGGAUAUAUGUCGGAGCUAUCAGACUACACUCGCAUCAGUGUCACACAGAAUAAUCUGCAGGAGUUUAAGGCGAUUUGGGAUCAGUGGGGCAAUGAGACCAAGCAAUCAUUCUACGGUAAGUAUGGAUAUUUACCCUAUUUGUUGGAUAUUCAGGUUGAUGAAAACUUGUUUCGAGCUCUCGCUCAGUUUUGGAACCCAGUAUACAAUUGUUUUACCUUUGGGGAGGUAGAUUUAGUGCCUACUGUGGAGGAGUACAAAGUCUUACUUCGGUGUCUUAGAUUUCAAUGUGAUAGGAUUUAUUCUCGAGCUGCUUGUGUCCCAACCUUUAGUAGGAAGCUAAUGAUCAUUACGGGGAUGAGCGAGCAGUGGAUCACGACUAGAAUUAAGGAAAAGGGUAAGAGUAAGUGCAUUCUAUGGGGAACUUUGAAAGAUCUGAUCCAGACGCAUCCAGCCGAGGCAAAGAGGGUAGACAUUUUUGCCUUAAGCUUAUACGAAUUGAUGGUUUUCCCCAGGGCCUUGGGAUAUAUGGACGAGGCGACUACGAAUCUCUUCCAUCGACUUAGCAAACGGGUCACUUCUGUUCCUUCGAUUUUGGCGAAGACAUUUAGGUCCUUGAAUGCAUGUAGGAGGGCCAGUGCAGGUAGGUUUGUUGGUUGUGCGCAGUUACUUUUAGCUUGGUUCUACAAUCAUUUUCGAUUGAUAGAUAGGGUGGUUUGUCGGGUCUUCUUCGAGGAUUACUCCCCGUUGAAGGACAUAGCAGCUUCAACUAGGAGAGUUGAUGUUCCUGAAAAGAAUUGGAUAGCGCUACUUAAGAAUCUGCAAUCAAAGGAUGUAAAGUGGAGGGCUCCAUGGAUGAUUCCUGGUGAGAUUCUUUACCGAUGCUACAGUUUUGAUUGGGUCCCUCUGUUGGGAAUUUGGGGUGCCAUUGGUUAUGCCCCUUUGCUUGUGCUGAAGCAACAUGGAUUGAGACAGUUCAUACCGGCAACUUACGGUUUGGUUCAGAAUGAGUUCGCGUAUAGAGGAGCCGACUACAAGAGGAAAGUCAGUGAGAUCUGUAGUGCUUGGAACAAAACUUGUCGAUUAAAGGGAGUAGUUAUUAGCCCUGCUACGACUCUGGAGUACGUUGAGUGGAGAAGUAGAAGGAUUAAUGAUAACAUCCCUAAGCCAAGCGUGGAAGGAGCUUGACCGAUGGAGGAAUAUUUGCAAGUGACGCCUUCGGAGUUGGAAAUUAUGAAGCAGGAGUUCGAGAGAAAGAACUUAGAACUCGAGAAAAGGAUAGUAAAGCUAGAAGAAGAAAAUAUAUAUUUGAGCCUAGACGUCGACGUUCAAAAGAUGGAGGUUGAAAAAAAAAAGAAGGAGAAAAGGAAGAUUGAGGAAGAUCAAGAUGAUUUAAAGGAGCAUUUUAAAAGGUCACAAAUAUCCUUGAAAAGAGCGAGAAUAGGAGGGUCUUCAAAUCAGUUGCAGAAAGAGGUCCAAGAGGAAAAAGCUAAAGCCAAAUAUUGGGAGAAGAAGUUCUAAGAGAUACAAUCGGGAAUUUGACCUUAGAAAAAAAAAUCAAGGUUUAAAGACUAAAGUAACUGAGCUCAGGCGAUCCCUUCAUCUGUAUCGAAGUCGUGAUUCUACAGUUGAGGAGUUAGAAUCAGCAUUGCAGAAUAGUAAGCUCCUAAUCGAGCAACUUGGGGUACGAGAAGAUUAUUUAAAGGGAGAGCUUCAUCAGUCUAGAGGACAGGUCAGAGAAAGGGAUCACGUCAUUAGAGAAGCCGUAGCCCAGAUUCGAGAGGUCGCUGAACAUGUACAAGGCUUGGCAAUACGAGCUGAUGUGUUGAGUUUGAUGUAUGAGUCAUCGUCGGAUAUAGUACGAGAGUUAGCCCUUUUAUUAGAUAGAGUUAAAACUUUGGGCAUUAAGGCGAAAGCGUAUUUGUAAUCCUCUUAUGUGUAAAGAUAUUCUUUUUCUAUAUAAAGUUUUCUAAAUGAGAUUGAAUCAGAAUCGAUGUCCUUUUUGCAUCGAUUUCCAUCUCAUAGCAUUUCAUCACAUCGUUUGCAUUCAAAGUUAUAGAAAGACUCUAAUUAGUUAAAAUUACCAGAGGGAGGGAAGCAGAAAAGAAAAUUUGGAAACCACGCAUCAGUACGGAACUCGUGCUAAAUCUAAGAAUAUAGAUCAAAGGUUUGAACAGCUACGAAAGGACAUGCAAGACCAAUUGCAAGAGCAAUUGGCAAAAAUGCAAAAUGACAUGAGGGAGCAGAUGUUAGAAGCUUAGAGGAACAUGAUGGCUGAGAUGGCUCAACAACUGAGGGCCACUGACAAGGGAAAGGCUCCCAUGGCAAUCACUAAAGAGGAGAAUGAGGGUCAUCCUCCUGGUUUCACUCCACCUCACGUACAAACUCAACUUGAGGCAUAUCCUCAAAGGCCGUCUGUCACAAUAAGGCCUUAACAGGGUCAAGUUGAUGCUGGAAUCCCUAUAAAUUUCCCAACUGGCUCGGGAUUUAAUUUGGGUGACAAUCUUGCAAACCCUCUCAUUCCUGACUUAGACAUAGCUGAAAAAGAGGAUUUAAGAACUGAGGUUGCAAGACAGUUGGAAGAACGCUGCAAAUGGUUGGAGGAAAAAUUCAAAACUUUAGAGAAUGUUGAUGGGCAUCAUAGAGUUUAUGCCAAAGAUCUAAGCUUGGUCCCAGAUUUGGUGCUUCCUCACAAAUUCAAAAUGCUAGAAUUUGAGAAGUACAACGGGACUACUUGCCCUGAAGCCCAUAUCACUAUGUUCUGUAGGAGAAUGACUGGGUAUGUGAACAAUGAUCAAUUUUUGAUCCAUUGUUUCCAAGAAAGUUUAAUUGGAGCAACAGCCAAGUGGUACAAUCAAUUGAGCCGGGUCAGAAUAAGUUCAUGGUAGGAUCUUGCCCAAGCCUUUAUGCAGCAGUACAAUCACAUGACCGACAUGACUCCAGAUAGAAUCACUUGCAAAAUAUGGAGAAAAAACCUAAUGAAAACUUUAGGCAAUACGCACAGAGAUGGAGAGAUGUGGCAAUGCAAGUUCAACCACCAUUGUUAGAGAAAGAGACUACCAUAUUGUUCAUCAACACUCUGAAGGCUCCAUUCAUUACCCAUAUGAUUGGGAGUAUUACUAAAAGCUUUGCGGAUAUAGUUAUGGCGGGAGAGAUGAUCGAGAAUGCUAUAAGAGAAGGCAAAAUCAAGGGGGAAACAGCCAAAAGAUCGGCCCAAAGGAGAAAUGACGGGGAAGUGAAUAAUACAAGCACCUAUAACACGAGGGCAAUCACAGUUGAUCAGUCUAAAAUGACUGUGGUUGAGCAACAAAGUUCUCAAAAGAAAGAGUCGAGAACCAGGCAGGACACUGAAAGGAUGCAAUUCACACCUAUUCUCGUGACGUAUCGUGAGCUUUAUCAAAGCUUAUACGAUGCACAUGCUAUUUCUCCUUUCCAUUUGAAACCACUGCAGCCCCCAUAUCCCAAAUGGUAUGACGCAAAUGCCAGGUGUGAAUAUCAUACUGGAAUACCGGGGCAUUCGAUCGAAAAUUGCACCGGUUUCAAGAAAGCCGUAGAGAGGCUUAUUGAGGUGGGGGGUAGUAAAGUUCGACAAUACCCCUAGUUCUGAAAACCCGCUGCCAAAUCAUGGCGAUCAAGGAGUGAAUGCCAUUGGAGAAACCAGUGAGAGAAGAGUGAAGGAAGAUGUUGCUGAGGUGAGGAUGUCUAUGAAGGUGAUCUAGAAGGAGAUGAUGAAGAGAGGUAUGUUAACCUCUAAAAAUGAGAAAGGAGAAAUAAGGAACUAUGGUGAGUUCCAUGAGAAAGAAGGAUAUGAAACUCAAGACUGUGAAGAAUUCAAGGCCUUGGUGCAAGGCUUUAUAGACAAUAAAGAGCUACAGAUUUUUGAAGGUAGCUCUAGUAAAAAAGAAGUAUGUGUGCUGGAGGAUGAACAACAAAGAACCAGUCGGCCAAAGAUUAUUAUUUCCUUGCAGGGGAAUAAUAAAGUAGGGGCACAAGUAGUGCCUAAGGUCAUAAUCCAUAAACCUGUGUCCUUCCCUUAUAAGGAUAACAAGAGGGUACCAUGGAGUUAUAACUGCCAUGUGUCAUUGCUGGAGAAAGAGGAUGUAGCCAGUACGUCCAAGGAUUUACAAAUUGAAGGUUCCCAUACAUAGAAUGGGAAGCGGUAUGAUACGAUGGGUGUCAAAGAGGAGCCCAUAAAAAUAAAGAAUGUUAGUGUAGAGAAUAAAAAAGAAGCUGAAGUGCCGGUCAAUGAGCCAGUAAAGGAGGAGGAGGCUAAGGAAUUUCUAAAGUUCCUUAAGCAUAGCGAGUAUAGUGUAGUGGAGCAGUUGUGUAAGCAGCCGGCUCGCAUAUCAGUUUUGGCUCUACUUCUGAGUUCUGAUGCGCAUAGGGAGGCAUUGAUAAAGGUGCUUAACGAGACAUAUGUCACCCAUGACAUAUCCGUUAACAAGCUGGAUCGGUUGGUGAACAACAUUAGCGCGGACAAUUUCAUCCACUUUAAUGAUGAUGAAAUUCCACCAGGGGGUAGGGGGUCAACUAAGGCCUUGCACAUUACCACUCGAUGCAAGGGGUACACACUCCCAAGCGUGCUUGUCGAUAAUGGAUCAGCCCUGAAUGUUCUAUCGUUGUCUACAUUAAACAGAUUACCCAUUGAUGAUUCUCACAUGAAAACAUGUCAAAAUGUGGUAAGAGAGUUCGAUAGUACAGAAAGGAAUGUGAUGAGAAGGAUUGACAUCCCCUUGGAAAUCGGGCCGAAUAUAUAUGAAGUAGACUUCUUAGUGAUGGAUAUCAAGCCAUCUUACAAUUGCUUAUUAGGAAGGCCAUGGAUACACUCAGCGGGAGCGGUGCCCUCAUCGUUGCACCAGAAAUUAAAGUUAGUGACGGAUGGACGGUUAGUAACCAUCAAUGCAGAGGAGGACAUUAUAGCUGCAGUCACUAGCAAGGCCCCUUAUAUCGAGACAAAUGAGGAAUCUAAUGAGUGUUCCUUUCGCUCUUUAGAGUUUGUAAAUGCAACCUUCAUUUCGGAGGGGAGUGAGUUACUGGUACUAAAGAUAGCAAGAGCUACGAGGAUGGCUCUACAAAUGAUGGCAGGAAAGGGAACUUCACUAAAAAGAGGGUUAGGAAAAUAUUUACAAGGAGGGACUCAAAUCCCUGGAUUUAAAGAGAAAAGAGAUCGCUUUGGUCUAGGUUUCAAACUAGAUUAUAAGCAAAGGAAGAGGGAGAUUGAGAAGCGCCAAGAGGAAAGAAGGGCGCGCCUUAAUAGAAGAGAAAUAGAUGGGAGUCGAUGACAUUCCCUCCAAUAUCCCGAACCUUCAUAUCGAGAGGGUUACUCAUAGAAGGAAGUCAUCAGAUUAAUGUUGUACAAGAGGAAAUAUCGGAGCAAGGAAACCUUGAGGGCAUUUGUCCUUACGAAUCGGGAAGGUCUUUGAAUAAUUGGACUGUGGAGGAACUUCCUGUAGUCUUUAGGAAUUCUUCAGAGUAAUUCUCGAAACAUUCUUGUUACUCUAGAGCCUAGGAGUAAUAGAAUUACAUUUGUGAAAUAGGCUUAUGAUCAUUUAUUAUUUUCUUAAUAAAAUAUAACUUUUAUCAAUUUGAACGAGUAUUGUUUCAUUUUUAUCAACCAAUAUUCCAUUAAACUUUGAAAAUUCUUAUCCUUUCAUUCAUAGCAUAUAAAUAAUCAUUCUUCAAUUCAUUCAUUCUUUGUAUAUUCUUUAUACUUCUCAGAUUCCUAGAUAUCAAUGACAUGAGCACUGAUAUCACAGAUCCUGAUUUCUCUCGUGAGCAAGACGUGUGUUUAGAAGAAUCUCAGGAUUUUGAAGAUGUCCAAGAUAAUGAUGUGUCUUUGGAUCUUUUGAGAAUGGUAAAGUAGGAGGAGAAACAAAUCAUGCCACAUGAGAAAGAGGCAAUAGAGAAUGUAGCCCUAAAGGAAGGAAAAGAGGUGAAAAUUGGCAUGCAUAUUAACGAAGACACAAGGCAAAAACUGAUUGAGUUGCUUUGUGAGUUCAAGGAUAUAUUCGCAUGGUCCUAUCAAGAUAUGCCAGGUUUAAAUAUCGAUAUUUUGGUGCAUCGUCUCCCAAUAAGACAGGAUUGUAAGCCAGUCCAACAGAAGUUGUGAAGAAUGAGGCUAAAUAUCGCGUUGAAAAUAAAGGACAAAGUCAAAAAGCAGUUCGAUGCAGGAUUCUUACAAGAGGUGAAGUAUUCUGAAUGGGUAGCUAACAUUGUACCAGUGCCUAAGAAGGAUGGGAAAGUACGAAUGUGUGUUGAUUUAAAGAUCUGAACAAGGCUAGCCCGAAAGAUAAUUUUCCUUUGCCAUACAUAGACACUUUGGUAGACAAUACAGCGGGAUAUUCGUUGUUCUCCUUCAUGGAUGGUUUCUCAGGGUACAAUCAGAUAGAGAUGCAUCCUGAGGACAUGGAUAAAACCACCUUCAUAACAUUAUGGGGUACCUUCUGUUACAAAGUAAUGCCCUUUGGAUUGAAAAAUACAGGGGCAACAUACCAGAGGGCUAUAGUGACCUUAUUUCACGAUAUGAUGCAUAAGGAAAUUGAGGUGUAUGUUGAUGAUAUGAUUGCUAAAUUUCAGACAGUGAAUGGACAUAUUGAAGUGUUGAGGAAGUUGUUCUGAGAUUAAGAAAAUUUCAGUUGAAGCUUAAUCCGGCAAAGUGCACCUUUGGAGCUAGGUCAAGAAAGUUAUUAGGUUUUGUGGUCAGUGAAAAGGGAUAGAAGUUGAUUCAGACAAGGUUAGAGCAAUACGAGAUUUGCCUCUACCACGUACUCAGAAGGAAGUUCAGGGUUUUCUUGGAAGGUUGAAUUAUAUUCCUCGGUUCAUUUCACAAUUAACUGAGAAAUGUGAUCCUAUAUUUUGCCUCCUUAGAAAACACAACCAAGGUACUUGGGAUGAGGAAUGCCAGAAUGCUUUCGAUAAGGUUAAGCAAUACUUGUUAAAUGUUGCAGUGUUAUCUCUGCCUAUUUUAGAUAAACCAUUAAUUCUGUAUUUGUCAGUGUUUAGUAAUUCCAUGGGAUGUGUGCUUGGUCAACAUGAUGAGUCAGGAAGAAAGGAGAAAGCAAUAUAUUACCUCAGUAAGAAAUUCACUUAGUGUGAAUUGAGAUAUUCACCAAUUAAAAAAUUAUGUUGUGCUUUGAUUUGGACAACUCGAAGGUUAAGACAAUCUAUGCUAUAUCACACGACUUGGCUAAUUUCAAAACUUGAUCCUCUGAAGUAUAUGAUGGAGUCAACAGCUUUAAAUGGAAGAAUGGCAAGGUGGCAAAUUCUGCUUUCAGAGUUUGACAUAGUUUAUGUGAGCCAGAAGGCUAUAAAAGGAAGUGCGAUAGCGGAAUUUCUGGCUAGUAGAGCUCUAGAAGACUAUGAGCCAUUGAAUUUUGAUUUCCCAAAUGAGGAGUUAAUGUGUGUAGCAACCACAGAAUUGUCCUUGGAAGUUGAGCUUUGAUGGGGCAUCCAAUGUAGUGGGAAAUGGAAUUGGAGCAGUCCUCAUAUCCUCAGAUGGCGAUUAUUAUUCAUUCACAUGCAAGUUAGAUUUUGAUUGUACAAACAAUAUGGCCUAGUAUGAAGCAUGCAUUAUGGGACUUCGAGCGGCUAUAGAGCGAGGAAUAAGAAUCUUGGAAGUAUAUGGGACUCUGCGUUGGUAAUUUACCAGCUUAAAAGUGAAUGGGAGACAAGAGAUCAUAAACUGAUCAAUUAUCGAAAGGUAGUUUUGGGGUUAUUUGAGGAGUUCGAUGACAUCACUUUCAAUUAUAUCCCACGAGACGAAAAUCAGAUGGCAGAUGCUCUAGCAACCUUGGCUUCAAUGAUCAAAGUGAAUAAAGAGGAGGAGAUGAGACCCAUUCAGAUGAGUAUUUUUGAGGCUCCAACUAGUUGUUGUAACAUCAAUGAAGAAGAAAAGGAUGAUAAUCCUUGGUAUUUGGAUAUAUUACGAUAUGUAAGAGAUCGUAAAUACCCAUAACAGACAACUGAAAAUUAUAAUCGAACUUUAAGGAGGUUAGCUUGUGAUUAUGUUUUGAACGGGAACAUCUUGUACAAAAGAAGAAAUGACCAAGUACUAUUGAGAUGUGUUGACGCCGUGGAAGCUAAGUUAAUCUUGGAAGAAGUUCACGAGGGUGUUUGUGGGAUGCACGCUAAUGGUUUCACGAUGGCUAGACAAAUCAUGAGGUUUGGAUAUUAUUGGUCUACUAUGGAAGGGGAUUGUAUCAAUUACGCCAAGAAAUGCCAUAAAUGUCAGAUUUAUGGAGACAAGAUUCAUGUACCACCUUCACCUCUACGUGUUAUGACUUCUCGAUGGCCUUUUUCUAUGUGGGGCAUGGAUGUCAUUGGGCCAAUAUCACCAAAAGCUUCAAAUGGACACCGCUUUAUUUUCGUGGUCAUUAAUUACUUCACGAAGUGGGUAGAGGCUACUUCUUAUGCAAAUGUUACUAAGUCAAUUGUAAGUCAUUUUUUGAAGAAAGAGAUCAUUUGUCGAUAUGGGAUGCCUGAGAGGAUCAUAUCAGACAAUGCAUUGAACUUGAACAACAAAACGAUAGCAAAAGUUUGUAGUCAGUUCAAGAUUAAGCAUCAUAAUUCAUCUCCAUAUCGCCCAAAGAUGAAUGGGGCAGUGGAAGCUGCUAACAAAAAUAACAAAAAAAUAGUGUGGAAAAUGACUGAAACCUACAGAGAUUGGCAUGAGAAGUUACCAUUUGCACUCUUAGCCUAUAGAACGUCCGUCAGAACCUCUACUGGGGCAACUCCUUUCUCGUUGGUUUAUGGGAUGGAAGCAGUGUUACCCAUUGAAGUAAAGAUACCGUCUCUCCGAGUCCUGUCAGAAAUAAGGUUGGAUGAGGCUGAAUGGAUACAAUCACGAUAUGACCAGUUGAACUUGAUUGAAGAAAAAAGGCUAAAAGCUAUUUGCCAUGGUCAGAUGUAUCAAAAGCGAAUGAUGCGAGCUUACGACAAGAAGGUUCGUCCAAGAGAGUUCUAUGAGGGGGACCUUGUACUAAAAAAGAUCCUUCCCAUUCAGAAGGACUUUAGAGGAAAAUGGAUGCCAAAUUGGGAAGGGCCAUAUGUCGUGAAGAAGGCUUUCUCUAGGGGAGCAUUGAUCUUAACAGAAAUGGAUGGGAAGAAUUUACCCAGUCCAGUGAAUUCAGACUCAGUCAAAAAGUACUUUGUCUAAAGAAGAGGAGAAUUCAGGGUGAAAAUUUGCAAAGGGCGCCUUGAUUUUUUGAAAAAAAAGAGAAAAAAAAAGAAAAAUAGAGAGGCCAAGGUGAAAACCCGCAAAGGGCGCUUUGUGACCAAAGGGGUUUUGAGUUGAAAACCCGAAAGGGCAGCUCAAAUUUUGAGAAACACACAGUAAUUUUGCUAUAUCUGAUUCAACGAAGAGUGAAGCGCAUUGCAUAUCGGGGUAUCGACAAAGUACUUUGGGUCUUUUAAACACGUGUUGAAUUCAAGAAAGUCUUCAUAGAACUGGCACAUAAACGCUUAAGCGGCGAUAUCUAGGGCAUCUAACUUUUGUCCUUUUUGUUAUCUUUAGAUUCUUAUUCUUCUCAAAGAUAAGCUUUCAGAUUAAUUUCCUUUGUAUUCUUGACAAAUUUAUUCAAAUCUAGUUAUUAUCAAGAUUGAAUUCAUUUUCCACUAUUCUUAAAAGUGCGUUGCAUUAAAUAAUGAUAGAUGAACUGAACAAUUUUCACAAAUGAAAUUUUGAUCAUUACUCUGAAAGUUUCUAGAAAAUACAAAACACUAAAACAGAAUAAUUGUUCAAGGAAUUCACGUAGGUGAGGUUCGAAAGAACUAGAGGGAAUUCUUUCUUUGGUCCAAAAUGAUGAUUGGACAAAUCAAACGAUUCGAUCCUAAGAGAGGAUUAUCUUACAAAUAUCUUUGGGUCAUAGCAUUUGAAGAAUGGUACAAACCCAUGGGCUGAGUAAAGAAUGAUAUUUCGAGAGAAAUAAGGGUGAGCUUGGAUGAAAGAAUGAGUAGUGACGUUUGAAUAGGGGUCAUAUUCAUAAAUAUUUUGCAUUAUAACAGGUUUAAUUAGGAACAUUUGACCCUUUUUAAUCAUAAACAUUCUAAUCAAUAGGCAUGAAUUCAUACAUAUUAUACAAGUUGUGUCCUUCAAGGGAUAAUGAAGAUUGGUGCGCCUUAACCCCUAAGCAGUAGGGUAAUAGGCUAAAGCAUAGCAGAUCUGACCUUCAAGUAUUUACACUGAAGCAGAUCCAGGAUGAUUUGGCAUCUCUGUAUUGGCAGAGAGCAGAUCGAAGAUAACAGAUUUGGCAUCUCUGUAUUGGCAGGGAGUAGAUCAAAGACAUAGUUGAUUUGACUUUCACGUGUUUACGUUGAAGCAAAUCUAAAAUGAUUUGGCAUCUCUGUAUUGGCAGAGAGCAGAUGGAAGGCAGCAGAUUUGGCAUCUCUAUAUUGGCAGAGAGCAGAUCGAAGAUAACAGAUUUGGCAUCUCUGUAUUGGCAGGGAGCAGAUUGAAGACAUAGUUGAUUUGGCUUUCACGUGUUUACGUUGAAGCAAAUCUAAUAUGAUUUGGCAUCUCUGUAUUGGCAGAGAGCAGAUCGAAGACAGUAGAUUUGGCAUCUCUGUAUUGGCAGAGAGCAGAUCGAAGAUAACAGAUUUGGCAUCUCUGUAUUGGCAGGGAGCAGAUCGAAGACAUAACUGAUUUGGCUUUCACGUGUUUACGUUGAAGCAAAUCUAAGAUGAUUUGGCAUCUCUGUAUUGGCAGAGAGCAGAUCGAAGACAACAGAUUUGGCAUCUCUGUAUUGGCAGAGAGUAGAUCGAAGAUAACAGAUUUGGCAUCUCUAUAUUGGCAGGGAGCAGAUCGAAGACAUAGUUGAUUUGGCUUUCACGUGUUUACGUUGAAGUAAAUCUAAGAUGAUUUGGCAUCUUUGUAUUGGCAGAGAGCAGAUCGAAGAUACCAAAUUUGGCGUCUCUGUAUUAUCAGGGAGCCAAUCGAAGACAUAGCUGAUUUGGCUUUCACGUGUUUACGUUGAAGCAAAUCUAAGAUGAUUUAGCAUCUCUGUAUUGGCAGAGAGCAAAUCUAAGAUAACAGAUUUGGCAUCUCUGUAUUGGCAGAAAGUAGAUCGAAGAUGAUUUGGCGUCUCUGUAUUGUCAAAGAUCAAAUCGAAGACGAUAGAUUUGGAGUCUCUGUAUUGUCAGGGAGCAGAUUGAAAAUGAUAGAUUUUGCGUCUCUGUAUUGUCGGAAAGCGGAUCAAAGAUAGUAGAUUUGGGCGUCUCUGUAUUGUCAGAGGGCAGAUCGAAGUUAACAAAUUUGGCAUCUUUGUGUUCAACGGAGAGGAGAUCGAAGUAUCAGCAUGACAGUCUUAAGUUUACAAAGAGCAGAUUGAAGACAAAGAUCUGAUAGGACCGGGCAAAUUUGGUCUGUUUAUAAGUCUUUGCUCGAUUCCCGUUACACAACAAUGAGCAAAGAGGGGCAGCUGUAAUAGCCCAAAUCUACCCGGGCCCAUAAUUAAAUAAAUAAAUUUUUAUUUGUUUUUUAACAGUCCAUGUACAAGCCCAAAAUUUGGUUGCCUUUAACCCAAAAUACCUAAAACUACCCAUUAACCCAUUUACACCCAACCCACAAGCAGGAACGGCCCAAAUGGCCCAAUGUGUUAACAAAUGAAUGAAGACCUAGGGUUUUUGGAACCCUAGGCGCCGUAAACAGAAAGUUCCAGAAGCCAAGCCAAACAUCACGCCCCUUCAGUUUCCGUCGUUCCAGCUACCCACCAUCAAGGCCACAAUUCCAGGCUCCGAAUCACGUCUUGAUCAACGCCACCGGUGGAUCUACGGCACCAGCACGAUCAUCGCUGGAUUUUCCUCGCUCAUCUGCACACAAAUGAAAGAAAAGCAACAUACAAAAUAGGAAGGAAUCGAAGAAAAGUAUUCUUACCAAAUAUACUGUAAACAGUGGCUAUAAAAACCCAAAUCGAAAAAGAUGUAAAGGACCGAUUUUUACGUUUUUGGAAUACGUACACAGAUUCAAUAAAAAGUUUAUUUUUACAUACAUAUAUAGAAAGGAGUACUACAGUCGAUCGAAAUACGCAAAGGUGAAAUUUUUUAAAAUAUAUGUACAUAUAUAUAUUGCAAAUAAUAAAAAGGAAAGGGAUACCUUUAAUCGGCGUUGAAAGCGAGGUUUUUAAACCUCUGGCCACCGUAUGCGGUGGAGACGACGGGGGCGCGUGAGCUCAUGCCACCCCUGGACGGAGGUCCGGUGACACUCCGAGAGCCCCUCCCCAACUCUCUUUCAGAGAGUUUCUUUUUUUUUCUU